rnacentral:antisense_RNA from 1 species
GCAACGUGUUGGACCUUCCUGAGCUUCUCAGAAGACAGAGGAUUUUCUUUUGAG